rnacentral:rRNA from 1 species
UACGUAGGGUGCGAGCGUUAAUCGGAAUUACUGGGCGUAAAGCGUGCGUAGACGGUUGCGUAAGUCAGAUGUGAAAGCCCCGGGCUCAACCUGGGAAUUGCAUUUGAGACUGCGUAGCUAGGGUGCGGAAGAGGGAAGCGGAAUUUCCGGUGUAGCGGUGAAAUGCGUAGAUAUCGGAAGGAACACCAGUGGCGAAAGCGGCUUCCUGGCCUGUUCUUGACGCUGAGGCGCGAAAGCUAGGGGAGCAAACGGG